UACGUAGGGGGCAAGCGUUGUCCGGAAUCAUUGGGCGUAAAGAGCGUGUAGGCGGCCAGAAAAGUCCGCUGUGAAAACUCGAGGCUCAACUUCGAGCUGUCGGUGGAAACUUUCUGGCUAGAGUCCGGAAGAGGAGAAUGGAAUUCCUGGUGUAGCGGUGAAAUGCGCAGAUAUCAGGAAGAACACCCCGUGGCGAAGGCGGUUCUCUGGGACGGUACUGACGCUGGAGACGCGAAAGCGUGGGGAGCGAACGGG
rnacentral:rRNA from 1 species